CCGUAUGAAAGCCAAGAGAAUGAACAAGGUUCCUCUUCUUCAACCUUAAUUUAAUCUCUGCUGCUUUUUUUUUGUCUUGGAUUUUUGUGGAACAAAAGUGAAUACAGGUCUCGAAGAAAGGGGAAGGUUCUUCUUCGUGUUCUUCGGUGCCGCAACAUCCUGGUGUGGACAAGUUGGAGGAAGUUUUGAUAUUGUUCGUGACACUCUGGGCUUAGUUCGAACAGAAUUCCCCCACAUUGUAUAUUUCAUGGCAGGGACAUAGGCGGAGAAAGCUUCUUGGAAUUCUAUUGGAAUUCUAUUGUGGGUUUGGGACUUAAGCUCUCAUCUGAAUGCUCUAGCAGAGUCAGAAACAGAG